UACGGGGGGAGCAAGCGUUGUUCGGAUUUACUGGGCGUAAAGGGCGCGUAGGCGGCGCAACAAGUCACUUGUGAAAUCUUCAGGCUUAACCUGAAGCGGCCAAGUGAUACUGUCGUGCUAGAGUGCGGAAGGGGCAACUGGAAUUGCUGGUGUAGCGGCGAAAUGCGUAGAGAUCAGCAGGAACACCCGUGGCGAAGGCGGCCCCCUGGGCCGUACCGUGACGCUGAGGCGCGAAGGCUAGGGGAGCGAACGGG
rnacentral:rRNA from 1 species